rnacentral:rRNA from 1 species
GGGUUGUGAGGUUAAGCGACUAAGCGUACACGGUGGAUGCCCUGGCAGUCAGAGGCGAUGAAGGACGUGCUAAUCUGCGAAAAGCGUCGGUAAGGUGAUAUGAACCGUUACAGCCGGCGAUGUCCGAAUGGGGAAACCCAGUGCAAUUCGUUGCACUAUCGUUAACUGAAUACAUAGGUUAACGAGGCGAACCGGGGGAACUGAAACAUCUAAGUACCCCGAGGAAAAGAAAUCAACCGAGAUUCCCCCAGUAGCGGCGAGCGAACGGGGAGCAGCCCAGAGUCUGAAUCAGCUUGUGUGUUAGUGGAACGGUCUGGAAAGUCCGACGGUACAGGGUGAUAGUCCCGUACACCAAAAUGCACAGGCUGUGAACUCGAAGAGUAGGGCGGGACACGUGGUAUCCUGUCUGAAUAUGGGGGGACCAUCCUCCAAGGCUAAAUACUCCUGACUGACCGAUAGUGAACCAGUACCGUGAGGGAAAGGCGAAAAGAACCCCGGCGAGGGGAGUGAAAAAGAACCUGAAACCGUGUACGUACAAGCAGUGGGAGCACCUUCGGGUGUGACUGCGUACCUUUUGUAUAAUGGGUCAGCGACUUAUAUUCUGUAGCAAGGUUAACCGUAUAGGGGAGCCGCAGGGAAACCGAGUCUUAACUGGGCGUUAAGUUGCAGGGUAUAGACCCGAAACCCGGUGAUCUAGCCAUGGGCAGGUUGAAGGUUGGGUAACACUAACUGGAGGACCGAACCGACUAAUGUUGAAAAAUUAGCGGAUGACUUGUGGCUGGGGGUGAAAGGCCAAUCAAACCGGGAGAUAGCUGGUUCUCCCCGAAAGCUAUUUAGGUAGCGCCUCGUGAACUCAUCUUCGGGGGUAGAGCACUGUUUCGGCUAGGGGGUCAUCCCGACUUACCAACCCGAUGCAAACUACGAAUACCGAAGAAUGUUAUCACGGGAGACACACGGCGGGUGCUAACGUCCGUCGUGAAGAGGGAAACAACCCAGACCGCCAGCUAAGGUCCCAAAGUCAUGGUUAAGUGGGAAACGAUGUGGGAAGGCACAGACAGCCAGGAUGUUGGCUUAGAAGCAGCCAUCAUUUAAAGAAAGCGUAAUAGCUCACUGGUCAAGUCGGCCUGCGCGGAAGAUGUAACGGGGCUAAACCAUGCACCGAAGCUGCGGCAGCGACACUAUGUGUUGUUGGGUAGGGGAGCGUUCUGUAAGCCUGCGAAGGUGUGCUGUGAGGCAUGCUGGAGGUAUCAGAAGUGCGAAUGCUGACAUAAGUAACGAUAAAGCGGGUGAAAAGCCCGCUCGCCGGAAGACCAAGGGUUCCUGUCCAACGUUAAUCGGGGCAGGGUGAGUCGACCCCUAAGGCGAGGCCGAAAGGCGUAGUCGAUGGGAAACAGGUUAAUAUUCCUGUACUUGGUGUUACUGCGAAGGGGGGACGGAGAAGGCUAUGUUAGCCGGGCGACGGUUGUCCCGGUUUAAGCAUGUAGGCUGGUUGUCCAGGCAAAUCCGGAUAAUCAAGGCUGAGGUGUGAUGACGAGGCACUACGGUGCUGAAGUAACAAAUGCCCUGCUUCCAGGAAAAGCCUCUAAGCAUCAGGUAACAUUAAAUCGUACCCCAAACCGACACAGGUGGUCAGGUAGAGAAUACCAAGGCGCUUGAGAGAACUCGGGUGAAGGAACUAGGCAAAAUGGUGCCGUAACUUCGGGAGAAGGCACGCUGGUGUGUAGGUGAAGUCCCUGCGGAUGGAGCUGAGACCAGUCGAAGAUACCAGCUGGCUGCAACUGUUUAUUAAAAACACAGCACUGUGCAAACACGAAAGUGGACGUAUACGGUGUGACGCCUGCCCGGUGCCGGAAGGUUAAUUGAUGGGGUUAUCCGUAAGGAGAAGCUCUUGAUCGAAGCCCCGGUAAACGGCGGCCGUAACUAUAACGGUCCUAAGGUAGCGAAAUUCCUUGUCGGGUAAGUUCCGACCUGCACGAAUGGCGUAAUGAUGGCCAGGCUGUCUCCACCCGAGACUCAGUGAAAUUGAACUCGCUGUGAAGAUGCAGUGUACCCGCGGCAAGACGGAAAGACCCCGUGAACCUUUACUAUAGCUUGACACUGAACAUUGAGCCUUGAUGUGUAGGAUAGGUGGGAGGCUUUGAAGCGUGGACGCCAGUCUGCGUGGAGCCAACCUUGAAAUACCACCCUUUAAUGUUUGAUGUUCUAACGUUGGCCCCUUAUCGGGGUUGCGGACAGUGUCUGGUGGGUAGUUUGACUGGGGCGGUCUCCUCCCAAAGCGUAACGGAGGAGCACGAAGGUUAGCUAAUCCUGGUCGGACAUCAGGAGGUUAGUGCAAUGGCAUAAGCUAGCUUGACUGCGAGCGUGACGGCGCGAGCAGGUGCGAAAGCAGGUCAUAGUGAUCCGGUGGUUCUGAAUGGAAGGGCCAUCGCUCAACGGAUAAAAGGUACUCCGGGGAUAACAGGCUGAUACCGCCCAAGAGUUCAUAUCGACGGCGGUGUUUGGCACCUCGAUGUCGGCUCAUCACAUCCUGGGGCUGAAGUAGGUCCCAAGGGUAUGGCUGUUCGCCAUUUAAAGUGGUACGCGAGCUGGGUUUAGAACGUCGUGAGACAGUUCGGUCCCUAUCUGCCGUGGGCGCUGGAGAAUUGAGGGGGGCUGCUCCUAGUACGAGAGGACCGGAGUGGACGCAUCACUGGUGUUCGGGUUGUCAUGCCAAUGGCACUGCCCGGUAGCUAAAUGCGGAAGAGAUAAGUGCUGAAAGCAUCUAAGCACGAAACUUGCCCCGAGAUGAGUUCUCCCUGAGACUUUAAGUCUCCUGAAGGAACGUUGAAGACGACGACGUUGAUAGGCCGGGUGUGUAAGCGCAGCGAUGCGUUGAGCUAACCGGUACUAAUGAACCGUGAGGCUUAACCUUACAACGCCGAAG